CACACACACACAAUCAACAACAAAAAAAAUCAAGAUAAUGUGCUAUGUGUGAGAUGAAGGGGUAGUGAAUGGAGAGCUGUUGGGUAAAAAGCAGCAUGUGUCAGCCACAUAGAAGGUGAGUUGUCAUGGUCCCUUACUGCAUGUGGCAUCCCUGUGAAUGUGGAAAUCACCUGUGCCACCCGAUGCUGGUAUAGCAGAUUGGAGACUGUCAUGUCCCAAAUUCUGGGGUUGUUGGUGAUAUGAUUUUCUGAAGGGGUGAGCUACAACUGGUGAUGUUCCAAGCAAAAUAAAAUCAACUUUCUCUUUACUAGACAUGAUAGACAUGCAUUCCUAAAGAAUUCUGCUACAUAAAAACACACUUUGCACAUGGUAUAAGAAAGGAGAAACCUUGACUGCUUCGUGGAAAAUCUCUGAAUAUUUGAGUUGUAUAAACCAUUUUCCUCAAUGACUAGAACAUACCACCUGCUUUUCAGGAUGUAUGAACUCCAAGGUCCUGCACACAAAAACCCAACAACACAGGUUUAGGAACUGUGACGAUGCAAAUGUGCCCUUGUAUUUUCAACACAUCUUUUGAGGGUACUAAUCUUGUCAUUGAGAAGAGCUUGCGUAGAGAUCUAGCCUCACCCAUACUGCCCCAGACAUUGCUGGAUGUGACCAUGCCUUUGAUUAAGGGCACUGGAUAACCAGUGGAGGACCUUUAUGAGAUUCAUGGGAUACCAGGUUUCUGGCUUAAUUUUGUUUUUCAAAGCAACCAUUUUCUGUGGGAAUCUGUUAGGAUCUUCUGGAAUCAAAAGAGUGGGCUUGAGUUCUGUAUCUAAAGUGGGAGAAAGCAAGACUAUUGGACCCUUCACCAGUGAGGAAGUACGUGGGCCUUUUGUGAUCUAUCAGAGGUGAGUGGGCCAUGGAAAGAGAGCCUGAACUUUCUGUUCUUCUGUCCUGUCCUGUCACGUUUCAGAGUGUAGAGUGGGGAGUUGGAGCGAUCUAGGAUUAAAUCCUAUUUUUGCUUUCUAGUUGCUGUGUGACCUUGGACAGCUUACUCAGUGUUUUGAGCCCAAACACUAAAAUGAGGAUUGACCUAUUGUGUUAGUCUACUACUAUAGUGAAAUAGAUUAGGUAAGUUAUGGAAAACAGAAAUCUAUUGCUGACAAUUCUGGAAGCUGAGACGUCCAAGAUGGAGCUACCAGCAGCUUCCGUGUCUGGGCAUGGGGCUGUUGCUCCUAGAUAGUGCUUUUUGAGUGUCCUCAACAUAGUGUGUGCAUGGGGGGUACUCACAAGUUCUUUUGGGCCUCUGUUUUAAGGGCAUAAUCACAUGUAUGAGCACUGAGCCCUCGGACUUAAUCAUUUCUCAGAUGCCCUACUUAAUAGUAUUGCUUUGAGGAUUAUGUUUCAACAUAGGAGUUUUGGAAGAACAUAGACAUUCAUACCACAAUAUCUACUUGGAAGAUCAGCAGUAAAGAAUAUCUUAACAAAGAGCUUUGCAUGGUUCCAAGCACAUGGUAAAAUCUUACUCCAUUUAACUGUUGUUGCUUGCGGUAGGUAAUACAGUUGUCUUUCAUGGAUUUAUUUCUGUGGGAAAGGGCCUUAGUUAAAGUUGAUGCUAUGUAAACUAAUCCAGAGACAUAGUACACCUUCACUUCUGCAAAAGGGGAUGGAUGUUUUUCUAGAAAGUAAUUAAGGGGAAAACAAGCCAAUGCUGGAUCAUAUUGUAUGCAGUGUUUUAAACAUGAAAGCAAAUACAUUUCUCCCUGAACCUUAAUACUUAAAAGUGUUCACUCUUAAUAAUUCACCCUGAGUUCCAAAGGAUCUCUGAGUAACCAAGGUAGUAUGACAGCACUCUGAGUAACCAAAGUAGUGACCUUUAUACAGUGGGAGGGACUGAACUGCCAUAGAACUGCAUGUUGGCCACCACCGCUGUUGACUUGUUCGCAGCUGAGCAGAGUUGGAAAUAUUAGUACCAGCACCCUGGGAGAGAAAUUCAUGUGGCUGGUCCUUAUCUGUUUUUCUGCCAGUGAGUAUUAAUGGGCCUGAAUGGCUGAUGCAAAUAAAUACCCAGUCUGGAAUACACAUUUUUCCAGGACAAACCACACAGAAAAGAUGUUUGAAUGUUUUUAAUAAAAACAUCUUGCUAGCUCAGAACUUCUUAAAGAGAUCCAGCUUUCUUAUGGAAAGCAGCCCAAGGUUCUUAGAGAAAAUCCUGAAAGUUGGAGAAGUGUUAUUCUUUUCCUUGAUCACUGUUAUUUUGCCAAAGAACAUGCUGGCUGUCAUUUUCAAGAUGAAAUGGAGUUCUGAUCAUAUGCUCCCACCAUUCUAUGGGCAAUUUAAAAAAUUUGUUUUCCUUUGAUAGUAAGACAAGCACUUUUCUUACAACGGUUCCAUUUCAUAAGGGCUUUAAGACAAAAGUAUUAAUAAAUGAGGAUUAAAGGGAAAAAAUAGCAUAAAGAAAGCGUGUGAUUGUGUAAUAAAAAUUUAACUGCUUCCUACCGUAGCGACAAGAGCAGAGGAAAAUCUUACUUGGUUACCUGAUUUAAAAAACAGAGUUCUGUAGGCAAAGCUCAGUUGUUCCUGGCCCUGAGAAUAGAGGUAAGUUUUCUCAUGGUUACUCUUCAAUAGGGUAUUUGGGGCUUUUCUCUUCAGUUUCCUCAAAUGCCUCACAGAGACUAUCACCAAGUUGUAUAGGACUGCUUUGAAUAACUUCUUCAUGGUUGGCAUUUUGCUGCAGUUUAAUUCUAUCAAGGAAAAAGAAGUAACCUCCAGGCAAUUGUCCAUUUCUUCUACUCGUUUCAACUGCACUUUUUUGAAAUAAUUGAGAAGCAGAGUUAAAGGUUACAUCUGAUGAACACAAGGAAUACAGCUCUCUUUGACAGAUGUGAAAGGAUACAGCCACGGGCCAAAUCACUCACCAAACUGAGUAGAGAUGAUACCCUUAUCAAUAUAAAAAGGGAGCCCAAAGAUUUGGUGGCCAGAAGAGAAGACCACUCGCCUCUGCAUGUAGAAGGGCAAGAGCAUCGAAGACCAUGCAGAAAAUGUGAAGAGGAAAAAGAAUAUGUCCCACAGUUAUAGAAAGGACUCUCUCAUAUGAACCAGAGAUGGUAGCUGAAACCAAAGAAAUGACUGCAGUAUCUAGCUAAAGGCAUGGCCUAGGAAAUGAGGAGGAUACAACUCAAUGGAGGGAAGAGACAAGCAAGACAUGUGGAACCAGGUCGGGACGUGGGGAAUGUCGGAUUCCCUGUUGUGAGUAUGAGCAUGUAAAGAAGCUUGCCAAGCACAAAACCCCAAGGUUUAGAUCUUGUGUGAUAGGUUUGCAGUGAUUUGUGCUGCAGGUACACCAGCCACGGUUCUAAAGCAUCAUGUGCUUCCCUGAUUGGUAGUUCAGGGAUCCUUCUCUGAAUUUCUUAAGGAUCCUUCUCUGAAUUUUCUUCAGCGCAUCAGCAGUAACACUCAAGGGAUGAGACUCGUCAUCUUCAGAUAUUUGGGAUUUCUCCUGCAGCCCAGUUGAGAAUGGGUCACCUGAAAAUGAAAUUGUAAGACAGGAGCAGGGGGAACUCAUUGCUAUUGAGAAAGAUCCUGAGUAAACUUUCCCUCUUUGCUCAAGGGAUGGCCUGAGUUUAAAGGGUUGCGGAGAACCCUGUUGCAGAAUAAUAUUUUAAAUAUAUUAAUUUGUUUUUUUCCCUUUGGGAGCUAGUGCCGGUUGCCUUUGAUCCUCCCCACAACCCCAUUCAGGUAUCAUUUAUUGUAUCAGGAAAAAGGCAGUUAAAACACAGAUCGGGAAGAAAAGCCUUUUGGUGUUUAAAGACCCUGAGCACUGGAGUUAGACACUUGAACUUUGUCUUUUUGAAACUUUAUCUUGUCUUAGAAACUAUGAGAUGAGUUGGAGCAAGGCUUCUAGUCCACGUAGGGCAGGAGGAUUUUGAGUGGGUGCUGUGAGGAGAGGGCUGAUCGAGGAAAGAAAGAGCUGGCAAAUGCUUGUAGGGACAAGGGCACAGUGGGCAGAGGGGUAGAGAAAAUGCAGAGAGCACCCUUAGACACUGUGCCCUUCUCUUCUCGGAGAAGCAGACUCUGCAGAGAGGAGAGUAGCGGAUGACAGGAACAGAAGUGCCCAAAGAAGCUACAGAAAGGUGGGCAUGGCACAGGCAGACAGUCUGAAGUGGCUCCAGGGAGUUGACCACGCAAGGGCUCGGCAUGCAGACAUUGUGGUGAGUCUUCUGAGCUCCGGAGUGCCAGCGGAACAGUAACAAAGGAAUCCCCACUGUCCUGCUGAGCGUGUGGCCGAAAAGCAGUAUUAUAAAGUCUCCAUGCCAACAGCUGAGAAGAGCGUUAGGCCAGCUCAGUAGCACCAGCUCAGUAGCAAAGAUCUACUAGAAGUAAGGCCAUCUCAGUCGAGCUGGUGCAAAGGCAGCGUCACACAAGGCACACGACAUGCCUGUCUCCGCUCCCCUGUACAGUGUGAGUCCCCAGUGACCCAGUGAGAACGGCAAGGAUGCAGAGUUGAGCAAAAUCAUGGUUAUAACAUGAAGGUAGGCCCCAGACAGAUGAGUCAUCUUGGAAAAAUAAAGUUAUGUUCCUUGUACAAUUUAUAGAAUGAAAUGUGAAUUCAAACACAAAAGAAACCCGUCAAUAAAAUUAGAAAAACAUUAGAUAUAUGCGACAAAACGAUUCAGCUCCUCCUUAUUGGAAUUCCAGAGCAUUUUAUAUAUCCUAACCCAGAGCUUGACAAUGGCUUUGUAGCUAGGUCCUGUGCAACCUCCUGGGACCCUGGGUAUUGCUCAUUCAACUCUGCUUAUUAUCUGCUGACUUUAUAUUGGGCUCUGUAAGCUUUCAUGAUUUUAUUUAAUCCUCGAAACAAUAGUUGUGAGAUUAAUAUGAUUCCCAUCUUACUAUUAAUAAAUUUAAGAUGAGAAGGGGGAAAUUUGAGAGUCCUAGUGAUUCUGCAGCAUCUCCCUUGUGAUUUUUGGUCCCCGUUUUUGUGGAUAAUGCUACGCUCUUCCUUCCUUUUUCUCCCCCAGCCUUUUCCUUUUUCUUGUGCAUUCUUUGCCCUUUUCAACCUCUCUACCUUUGCUUAACUUGCUCCUACUUUGUAUUCUGCUCUUCCCCCCUGCCUUCAUUUUUUUUUUUUACAUCAUCCCCAUUUUCUAAAGCACAAUGCACAUUUUGCCUUCUCCCAGACACAUUUCCAGCUCUCUGUUAUUAUUUUACCCCACUUCCUGUUACUUCAGUCCUUCACCCUUCAUUUUAACUCUAUCAAAAUCAGCUUGGUAUCACAGGUGCCUCGGUAAGCUGGUGUCAGCUGCUGGGUUGUGACCCCCAGAGUGUUCCGUCUUCUGCGUCCAUGGCGCCUACCACUGAUUCAUCAUCUAGACUGCAGCUGCUUUGUACCUGGGAUAUAAAACAGCCUUAAUACAUAUUUCUCAAGUGAAAUUGAACUGAAAACUCUAAAACACUGUUAGUGAAGCAUGACACAGAUGCUUGAACAGAUGUCUAACUGAAUAGUCUUUGAUUCCCUCACCGCUUUUCUUCUUUUUCUCCAAGUUAUUUCAAUUUUUUUUUCAAACAUACAAAACAAUUUAAAGAGUUACUUAGUGAAAACCCAGCUAGUGACUUUUCAGCUUCUAGAAUAUAUGCCCUAGUAUAUUGAUGUUAUCUAUCCUUCUAUUUAUCCCUCUAGCCCGCCUCACAGACUUGAAUGCAGCCAGUCUUGGGGAGACCUUUGAAAUCGGAUCUGGAAUUAAUUUCUGCAAUCAGCCCUUACUCGUUGUGGGACCUUGGCAGUGUUGCUUAACUUACAUCUUUUUCUCCCUGUGUAAAGUGUCGGUGGCCAGCAAGGCCUACUGCCUAGAGUGUGGUGAAGAUUAAGUGAGAUUGUGUAUAUAAAGGGGCUGGCACAUGGUCUGUGUUUAGCACCUGCUAGCAAGAAGAAAAGAACAGCAUAGAUAUUUCAGCUAUCAGCACUGGUUUGCAAUGAUAUGUUUUUGGUAUUCUUGUCUGCAGUCUCUGUUUUAGGCCCAAAAGAAAAGGACGCUGAUAGAAGAGAAUCAAUCUUAGACUCUUUGGUUAUAAGCUAGAGGUGACUGGAUCCACUCAGUGGUUGAUGGCUAUAAAAUGGAACAUGGGCUGAAAGGAAAAGAUUGGGAAUCUUUCAAAACUACCGUAGGUUGGUCAUAAAAUAAAAUAAGGACAACCUAGUGGUGACCAGGAGACUCAGUGGUGAGGUUUCCACAGCCAGCUGGGAAAGCAAUGCUGGGGUCCUCAGGAGCUUGGAAAUGCCUGGCACAUGAACUAGGGAAUCCAACUUGGGUUGUUGGGUUUGCAAGGCAGGCAGCGGAACCACUGAGCUAAAUCCCCGGCCCUACGAGGCCUUUUGGAUCAGCGAGCCUGACGCUAGCCACCAGGUGACCACAGGAGCCCAAGACGGAUCCACUGGACCUGGCCCAGAUAAGCAGAACUUCCCUGCUGACCUCCACUGUAAGAAAGGCUUUUGUCUUUCGGAAAUGACAUGGCCCACCUGCCUGGAAGGGGGUACUGUAUUUACUCCUCACAUUGCUGACUUCUGGAGGAAAAACUGUCUUGAGAAGAUUUUUGAUGUGGCAAAAAACAGUGUUCUUUCUGAAAGAAUAAACAGAGGCCUCUUUUUUUGGCAGAAUCUUGCUGUGUAGUCCAGACUGGCCCUGAACUCUGACUUAACCUGUGCCUUGGCUUUCCCAAGCUUCAUGCGUAUGAAGAUGGAAACACGAAGCACAGAGUGGUUAACUGGCUCACAUGACAUCACAGGUUCAGAGUGAUUAUGAGCUAAGCAGCUUCCUCCACCAUGUGCUCCGGCUGUAUGCGCUGCCUUGCCACAGACCCAGAUUCAGUGGGGCCAACUGAUCAUCCCUGAAGCCUUCAAAACCAAAUCUAGAAGACAAAGUUUCUUACUUUCUCACACUGUGACAGCAAUGCCCAACACCCACACCUUAAAGGAAGAAAGGAUCUCCAUUUUGGGGGGCAUCUCAGGAGAGAUGGAGCCUUCCCCCAGCCUGAGAGGAUGAAACAUAAUUUACUUACGCCAAGUAUGGAAACCCCAGUCCCCCUUUCCUGUGAUUAAUUUGGGUUUAGGCAAAUAAUCUAGUUCUAUUCAAUAUAACCAAAUGGACAGUCUAUUGGUAGGUUCUUCUCAGAAGACUUUUGUUUUCUGUUGUAGAAGAAUCAUGAAUUUCUUUCCUCCCUGACUAACUGUAGUUGUAUGAGAACAUGGUACUUAAAGCUGUAACAACCAUUUUUGUUACCAUGAUGAAAGAAGUCAAAGACAAAGGAUCCAAUAAUAGAAUGGAGCAUGGGUGAUACCACUGAACUGCUGAACCAAUUUGGAAAUAUCUGCUUCUAGGCUUCCCAUGACUUGUGAAAUGAAGAAGACUUUCUGUUUUAACCAUUUCUUUUCUGUUGCUUGAAACCAAACAUAUUAUAUAUGACUUACUAUCCAACUUAUUUCAUCAUUUUAUCUAUUUUUAAUGUUGUUUUAUUGAUUGAUUUUUAUAUUUUUAGCAUUAAGUAUAAUCCCAGACCUUAGUAAGACUGCAAUAAAUGAAUGAAAACUGUGUUAGGUGAUAACAAUUUUAAGAGUUGUAGAAUUAUAAGGGUCAGAAUUUAAUUUCGGGUUCUUUACAAUUUUUGAUUGUUUUUCUGCUCUUUUUCUCUACCUGAUUCUACUUUUACUGGAACAAAAAAAUGAUUAAAAUGAACUAUCAAAAAUGUCUAUACACGACAAAAACACAGAAUAUUAUCUGUUGGUAAAUAAAUAAUGACUAGUCACUGUUGCUAAGAAAUUUCUCUUGAGAAUUUCCAGAAAGUCUCAUCAGCUGCAUUUAUACCUAAACCUCUGGUGAUCAGUAUUUCAGUGACUCAAAUCAGUGUACAUAAAGCAGUGAAAUAUUUAAAGGAAUACUGCCUUAGAAAAUCUUAGAAGAUGUGCCUGUUUCUUAACAAUUUAUUUAAUAUCUUCUCUCUACUGGACAUUUCACUGCUCACUGUAGAUGAAAGAUGAACAAUCACAUAUGUCCUUUCCUUAAAAGCCCAUGAGGCCAAAGCAGGGCUGGUGAUUCACAUGAAGGUACUGCCGAGUCUUGGAUCCAGUUCUCUUAGGGUAGAACAGAGCUACUACUCAGUUAAUGAAGAAAUCAAAUGCCUAGAUAUUACCUUGUGACAUAGAGUCCUUGAAAACAUCCCAAGUUUGGUCCUUCCUAGCCAAGAUUGCUUUGGGAAGUGACUUAUGCUAUCACCUUCAAUUCUCAGCACUUUCCCUACAUUCUCCAUAGCAACCUCUUGCCAGGGUACCCCCUGCACGAGUCACCCAGCAAAACUAUUUCAGAAGGGGAACAGGUUUGAGGGCUGGGUUUUUUCUGAGUGGAAGGAUUAAAAGUAGGGCCUUGCUUCCCUAUGGAUGAGCAAAAAUAAAGAAAGUACGUAUGAGACCCCAUGCUCCUUCUUAGCCAGCCAUGACUUCUGAAGGAGACCAGAGCUCUGGCAGAGUAUCAUUGGUCCACCAGUCUCAAGGCUUCUUCUCAGUUCCACAUGGACCAUAAAUGCACCAAGUUACCAAACUUAAAGCUAUUAAUUUUAUCACUGGUUUGCUGUCUUAGGGUUCACUAGAGGAACAGAUUCUACAUAAAAUAUGCAGUGGCCACCUGUGAAAUCAAGGGUGUGAGAAUACAAAAUGUCUGCCUACCCUGGAGGCCUGGAGGAUCCUGUUGAAGAUCAAAGGCCCAGAGCUCAUUGUAGAGUUCAGUAUGGGUCAUUGUUAGAAACCCAAAGGGUCUAUAUUUGAAAACGAAAGAGUCUGCCCUGGAAGCCUCAAGGAACUGAAGAUGAACAUCCAAAGGGAAGGGCAAAGAGUGGAGCUCCUUAAAGGAAACAAGAGAAGACUUCCUUCUUUUCUUUCGUAUUCUGUUCAGCCUAUAUGCCAGUUGGUUAGUACUAUCCAUAUCUGUAGUGUGCCUUUCCUCCUUAUUUUGGUCUACAUAUCAGUUAUCCUCAGAUAUGCCCAGAGCUUUACUGAUAUGCUAGGUGUUUCUUACUCAAGUCAAGUUGACAUAUCUCAAUUAAUGAUCACAUCUGCCUUUUGUAGAAAUCGCUGGCAAUUGAUACUUCUGUCCCUCUCUCCUAACAUAUGAGCCUUCACAUCCUCCUUUACACAUUUUUGUGUAUUCUCCCAUUACCAUACACCUAGAGAUAUCCUGGCUUUCUGUUAGUUGUUCCAUGUAUAUUGUCCUUCCUCCAGAGACACUGGUAUGAGAUCCUGACGUCUUGGGAAUGCAUCCCAGCUGUUCCACUUUAUGCUGUUGGAUUCACUCAUGGCGACUCCCUGUGGCUCAGUUUCUGCCUCUAUGAAAUGAAGAUUUACCACCCUUUCUUCCCCCAUUCCCAUGGGCUUCCAAUUUGUGAGUGUGCCCCACACAGACACAUAUGUGUGGACCCACGAGCCUGGCCAUCAUGAUAUUUCAGACUCGUUCUGCAGCUGGGCCUAUGUACUGGGUAAAAAGCCAUCAAAGUGUACCUAUUAUUGAUGCCUACAGACUAUGCUUCAAUAAAAUAUUUACUGAAAAGUUUUUGCAGUUAUGUCCCACCCACUGAGCUGGACAGGGCUUACUUUCUCACUCUGCUGUCCCCCAUUUUAGUUUAGAGAAUUACAUGUGCAUAUACAUUUAUUUUAGAAAGCAACAUGAAACAGCAAACAAAUGAAAAUUAAAGACAUCGCAUGCCCUU